UACGGGGGGAGCAAGCGUUGUUCGGAUUUACUGGGCGUAAAGGGCGCGUAGGCGGCCAGCACAAGUCAGUUGUGAAAUCUCCGAGCUUAACUCGGAAAGGUCAACUGAUACUGUGCGGCUAGAGUGCAGAAGGGGCAACUGGAAUUCUUGGUGUAGCGGUGAAAUGCGUAGAUAUCAAGAGGAACACCUGCGGCGAAGGCGGGUUGCUGGGCUGACACUGACGCUGAAGCGCGAAAGCCAGGGGA
rnacentral:rRNA from 1 species